GAAGAGCAUUUCCCAGCAGGUUUUUAAAAGUCACUGCGGCAGCUCUUUGCAGAGCUAUGAUAGUCAUUGUGUAACUUUAACUUGUAAAUCGCACUCAAAGCCAUAAAUAAAAGUACAGAGUAUCAGUCACGGAGCCACAAGAUCCUGGACACCAGUGCCACGCUCCGAUCCCGCAGGGUAUUUGGAAAAUCGUCCCAGGAUCACACACUGCUGUUUCAGGUCUGCAAUCACUUGUUUCAUAUAUUUUGUCCAGUGUUUUACUUGGUUAUGGUGAAAAGUUCAGGUCUUGAGAAACUGGGAGUUUCAUUUUCCUGCCUCUUACAAUGCUCAGUCCAACGUGCUGACACACGGGAGGUCCCCUGCAGGUGUUCCGGCCAACAGCGCCAAUGACCCAGCCAAUUGCCAGCGUCAACCACCAGUCAUGUAGAUUCUUCACUGCUGAGCCACCAGGGAAGCCCCUGAAUGUGUCACUGCUGCUGCUGCUGC